rnacentral:lncRNA from 1 species
GGAGACCUCAUCUUUUAUCUAACCUCUCUUUUUUCCAGUACAGCGUCAUUACCAUGGAGUUUCAUCUAACAAUGCUUGUUCCAUCUGUUUCCAUUUUGUCAUGAAAAUCAAAGGAGGUAGUGGAUGUGAAAUUUUACUGAUUACAUAUAUAGGAUCCAAAUAACAUGCAGUGACAAACCUCCUGCAUAUGGCUGAAUGCUAAGCCACCAGCUACUCCUGCCCUCACAUCUCACAACUUUGCUGCAAGAAAAAACAAAACAGAACAUCUUGGCUAAAACUGCCCACCUCCUUACCCCAAGCUUGAUGCCAGCUGAAGAGUCCCAGGAGACCAGUUGGCUUAGCCCGGGUCAGAGGCCCUGGAUGGGAGUGGAUGAUUGGUAGCCAUCAUUUGCACCUGAUGGUUAGAGUGUGAGAGAAGCAGUCUUCCUGAAGAAGAGAGGUGGUGUCCUCAGAAAAGAGGAAGGGUACAAGGUUGUGAAAGCAAUAAAUGCUCACGCAAAAGAGGGUUGACCCAAGGUCUGGCCUUCUUCUUGCCACUCUCUAGUGAGGGAGCCCUUAGGAAAUUGAUUAUGCUCUCUGUCAAGCGGCAAAAAUAAAACCUGCCCCUGCCUUACGUGGUGAUGUGAGGAACAGAUUACAGAAUAGAUUUAAAGUGGCCUUUCAAAGUUUAAAGUGCGAUACCAAUGAAAGGUAAACUAAGUUAUUCUGGUU